UACGAAGGGGGCAAGCGUUGCUCGGAAUCACUGGGCGUAAAGCGCACGUAGGCGGCUUUCUAAGUCAGGUGUGAAGUCCUGGAGCUCAACUCCAGAACUGCCUUUGAUACUGGGAAGCUCGAGUCCGGAAGAGGUGAGUGGAACUCCGAGUGUAGAGGUGAAAUUCGUAGAUAUUCGGAAGAACACCAGUGGCGAAGGCGGCUCACUGGUCCGGUACUGACGCUGAGGUGCGAAAGCGUGGGGAGCAAACAGG
rnacentral:rRNA from 1 species